rnacentral:rRNA from 1 species
CCUAAUACAUGCAAGUCGAGCGGAAUGAAGAAGAAGCUUGCUUCUUCUGAUUUUAGCGGAGGACGGGUGAGUAACACGUGGGCAACCUACCUUGUAGAUUGGGAUAACUCCGGGAAACCGGGGCUAAUACCGAAUAAUCCAUUUUGCUUCAUGGCGAAAUGUUAAAAGGCGGCUUCGGCUGUCACUGCAAGAUGGGCCCGCGGCGCAUUAGCUAGUUGGUAAGGUAACGGCUUACCAAGGCGACGAUGCGUAGCCGACCUGAGAGGGUGAUCGGCCACACUGGGACUGAGACACGGCCCAGACUCCUACGGGAGGCAGCAGUAGGGAAUCUUCCACAAUGGACGAAAGUCUGAUGGAGCAACGCCGCGUGAGUGAAGAAGGUUUUCGGAUCGUAAAACUCUGUUGUAAGGGAAGAACACGUACGAGAGUAACUGCUCGUACCUUGACGGUACCUUAUUAGAAAGCCACGGCUAACUACGUGCCAGCAGCCGCGGUAAUACGUAGGUGGCAAGCGUUGUCCGGAAUUAUUGGGCGUAAAGCGCGCGCAGGCGGUCCUUUAAGUCUGAUGUGAAAGCCCACGGCUCAACCGUGGAGGGUCAUUGGAAACUGGGGGACUUGAGUACAGAAGAGGAAAGCGGAAUUCCAAGUGUAGCGGUGAAAUGCGUAGAGAUUUGGAGGAACACCAGUGGCGAAGGCGGCUUUCUGGUCUGUAACUGAUGCUGAGGCGCCAAACCGUGG